GAUGAACGCUGGCGGCGUGCCUAAUACAUGCAAGUAGAACGCUUAAGCCGGAGCUUGCUCUUCUGGAUGAGUUGCGAACGGGUGAGUAACGCGUAGGUAACCUGCCUGUUAGCGGGGGAUAACUAUUGGAAACGAUAGCUAAUACCGCAUGACAACAGUUACUGCAUGAUGACGGUUGAAAAGGGGCAACGGCUCCACAACCAGAUGGACCUUCGUAGUAUUGGCUAGUUGUUGAGGUAUCGGAGCACCAAGGCGACGAUACAUAGUCGACCUGAGACGGUGGACGGCCAACAUGGGAAUGAGACACGGCACAUACUCCGACGGGAGGCAGCCGUACGGAAUCCUCGGCAAUCGACGGAAGUCUGAGCGCACAACGCCGCGGGAGUGAAGACCAUUGUCGGGUCGUAAAGAUCUGUUGUAAGAGGAGAACGAGUGUAAGAGUGGAAAGUUCACAAAGUGACGGUAUAUUAUCAGAAAGGGACGGCUAACUACGUG
rnacentral:rRNA from 1 species